UGCGCAGGCGGAUUGGUAAGUCAGGGGUGAAAUCCCACAGCUCAACUGUGGAACUGCCUUUGAUACUGUCAGUCUAGAGUAUAGUUGAAGUUGGCGGAAUGUGUCAUGUAGCGGUGAAAUGCUUAGAUAUGACACAGAACACCGAUCGCGAAGGCAGCUAGCUAAGCUAUAACUGACGCUCAUGCACGAAAGCGUGGGGAUCAAACAGGAUUAGAUACCCUGGUAGUCCACGCUGUAAACGAUGAUUACUCGAUGUUGGCGAUACACAGUCAGCGUCUGAGCGAAAGCAAUAAGUAAUCCACCUGGGGAGUACGAUCGCAAGAUUGAA
rnacentral:rRNA from 1 species